GGUCAUACCAAUUCUGUUAAUCUUAGACAAGAUGUUGAACAUUUAAGCAAUAUUUACAAACCUCUAAUCUCCGCCCACACAACAAAUUUUGUUUAACCUUAACUACAUACAAAAAAUUAUUUUGUCCCCAUUUACAGUCCUUUCUACAUAACUUUUCUUACAAAAUAUUUAUUGUUUUUCUGUAUAAUUGUUUAUAAUAGGUUCACCUUCACUCUGGAUUACAUUGUUUUCUCCCAUCAGUCGUUAUUCACCUGUUGACUCAAUUGGUUCAACCAACAAUAUUUCGUUAGACAUGUAGAACUUAAUUAUAAACAGCCUACCUCCACUUCAUUGACACCUGUGAAUUAAUUUCAUUGCUAAAACUACCUUCUUCAAUAACCUUUUAACACAAUGACAUACUGACUGUGAAGAAACAUAGUUCUUUAAUCUUUUUAAUUAAUGACUACCAACUUUUAACUCCCACAUAUAAAAUAACUUGAAGAUUGACAUAGUCUACCGUCACUCAAAAGAACACUGUUUCCACCAAUUGUAAUUGUGAAUUCGACUACAUCUUAGUCCACAUUCAAAAGCACGAAAUCGACAAUCUCAACGAUCCAGAGUUUAAGAAAAACGCGAAUUGGCUGCAAAUGCUGACGGCGUUGAUCGAGGAUCACCAGGAUUACGAGGGCAAGGAAGCGAAGGUUCAGUUGAGCGAAUGGAUGCGAGAAAGGGAUAAUCUACGCAACGAUAUCAAACGCGUAUUCAACCAACAGUUUGGUUCAGUCUUUAGGACGUACCAUAAUCCGACCUACUUUUCUAGGCGUCUCUUUCGUUUCGCGGACAUCUACAUGAGCAACAUUACCAACCUCUUAAACUAUUCGACCACUCACACCUUUUACCCGAGGAGAGGAGUCAUGCCCCAUGAAUACACUAUUUCGUAUAAACCGUGCGCAAACCGAGCCAAAACCAUCAUGCGGUAUAAAAUAUGCGUUACGAAAUUGAUCUCGAAAUAUUUGGGACUAACGCAUCGUAUUUUAUUCUUUCCCAAAAAAAGAAAAAAAAAGAUAAUCAAAAUUCAAACGUAUUGAGAAAACAGAAAGAAAAUAAGCAUCUUAGUUUCCUUCCUUUCAGAUUACAAUUUAAGAUCGACCUCACACUAUUAAUACGCUUAAAUUUAUCCGUAAGAAGUUGACGAAAUUUAAUAGUUUUUAACUUUUCUUGGUAGUUAGAUCGGUACAAUUUUCCUUAAUUGUAGUUUAUUUUUCCCCAGUAGUAGAAACGUUGCGUGAAAUUCAAAUCCUGUGGGGAAAUUCAAUAGCUUAUUUCGUAGCGCUACAGUUUGUUCAAGUUUAUCGAUAGAAAUACCUAGGAAUGUCAAGAUUUACUUUUACGUUGAAAAUGUUGCCAAAGCUUAAGUUGAGUUAUAGCUUAUUACGAUUAAGAACUAAUUGAAUGAUCGAUCGAUAUAUACAAUAAGUUGACGCUACGUUAUUCUGAAACGAAUCGUACUCUUAUCGUUGAACGUUUGCAAGUACAAAUAGAUAUGUAAUGCCCCCGAGUAACAUCGGGAUAUCUCAAUCAAUCUGAUCGAAUAGAUAAUUACAAUUGAAAGAUAUAAACGUACGAGUAUUAGCAAUGAUCGGGUAAAAUAUUCGUCAGAUAUUAAUUUAUUUAGCUAGAAUUUACCAUGAGUAAAAAAAAUGAUAAAAAUUUUAUUUGUAAUGCGCGAAGUGAACGAUGUUUCCGGAUAUUAACUGAAAUCGCAGUAUCUGAUUUUUGAUUUAUUCAUAAAAAAGUAACAUUACACACGUAUUGUAAUUACAAAUGAAGGCACGCGAAGUUAAGGAUAAUAACCAGGAGUUCCAGACAUUUUUCUAUCGGUUGUCAGGCUAUUACCGGUUUCUAGAGUCUGUUGACAUCUUGUCAUUAUUACAUCAAUGCCAAAAUUUGAGUUUAGUAAUAAUUAUGAACAAUAUGAAAUUAAAAAAUUACAAUACUGCGUUCUUUUCCGUGUCUCGAUAUCAUCACUUGGCUUGAAUAGUUGCGUAUCUCAUGCCAAAUUUCAAACGUAAGAUAACCGUUACUCGUAGAUACUUAAAAAAUGUUGAAGCGAGUCAUUAUGCAUGUUACAUACGUACUAUAAGAAAAAUUACGACAUACCUAAUCGAAUACAAAAUGUGUUUGUGUGCAACGUGUCUUCUAUACCAAACGCACGAGUACAAGUUGUAUAUUCAGUUCAGACCACAUUCGGUUUUUGACAAUACUUUGCAGCUCUAAAUAUUUAUCAGAGUUUUCAGUUUGCGGAAUCUAUUUUUAUUGUGACUAAAUUGUGCGGGAGUCUGAGUCGAAUAACCAGAUUGUAUCCUUGUGAAAUCCUUACCUAAUCACUAUAGGUACUAUGUGCAUAUAAUAAAAUGUAACCACCAUCGCGGGAUAAGUUUUAUCGUCGGAACACUGCCUGGGAUGAAUAACAAUCCGAAUGAUGAGAUUAAUUAC
rnacentral:lncRNA from 1 species